rfam:Pteropus alecto contig29673, whole genome shotgun sequence.
GGUUCCAUAGUACAGUGGUUAGCACGUCUGCUUUGCACGCAGAAGGUCCCGGGUUCACACCCCAGGGGAGCCA